ACUAACCUCGUGAUAUGGAUAGUUGGUUAGGAGCUUAUGCUUGGGAUAGCCUUUAUGGAUUGAUGCGUAGGAUAGUUGGUUAGGAGUUUAUACUUAGGAUAGCCUCCACAGGUUUAGCUUGGGAUAGCCAGUGAAGAGCUUAUGCCUAGGAUAACCACCAUAAGCUUAUGCAUGGGAUAGUCGGUCAGGUGCUUAUGCCUGUGACAAUAUUCAUGGGUUUAUACAAUGGGAU
rnacentral:lncRNA from 1 species